rnacentral:lncRNA from 1 species
UUACAGACCUUUUCUUUGAACCAUGUUGGAAGAAAUAAAAAGUUUUUUUCCUUCAAGAAGAUGCAAGCACCUUAAGAGAAAAAUCCAACUAAUUAUCCAGAAAAGGCACAGUGCCCUGCAUUAUUGGGACAUUUUAUGCAAAUAGCAGUUAACCGUGUGAAACUGCUCCAUCGGUCUCUGUAACCCAGGCAAAGGCCCCUUGGAAGGAUUUCCAGCCCACUGCUGAGCCAGAAGCAUGGAUGUAUGAUGUGUCCACUCCCAGGUGAAAAUGAGCAGGCUUUGAACAGGCUGAGCUGUCAGUGGUGGCCCAGUUUAGUGACAAAAGGCCACGUCUGACAGUGCAUUUUACUCCCUGAGGUUUGCUGACACCUGCUGACAAGUGGGAGGAUAACAGCGAAUAAAGAAGUUUCGUAAAAGAGGCUGUCGUGCUGCUGUGCAAAGAGAAGCCAAGAAUAUCUCUGGACUUCCCUGGUGGCUCAGACAGUAAAGAAUCUGUCCGCAACGAGGGAGACCUGGUUUCGAUCCCUGGGAUGGGAAGAUCUUCUGGAGGAGGAAACGGCUACCCACUCCGGUAUUUUUGCCUGGAGAAUUCCAUGGACAGAGGAGCCUGGGAAGGCUACAGUCUGUGGGGCCACAAAGAGUCAGACACAACUGAG